rnacentral:ncRNA from 1 species
CCCAGAGACGAGGAAGGGCAUGGUAAGCAACACAAUUCUUUGGGGAGUUGAAAAUGAGCAUAGAUCCGGAGAUUCCUAAAUAGGUUAAUUUAAUUUUUUUUUAAUCCAUGGACAUGAAAGAGACAAACCGAUGAACUGAAACAUCUUAGUAUCCAUAGGAAUAGAAAUAAAAAGUGAUUCUCGUAGUAGUGACGAGUGAAAUGGAAGCAACCUAAACCAUGAAAAUGGGGUUGUGGGAGUGAUCCAGGCGGAUAUUGGUGGCCACCCACCUAUUUCGACUGGCUCCUCUUGACAGUUUUUAGUUCAGCACAUUAUUUUUUAAUUCUUUGUAAUUGUGGGUUCUACACUUCUAGG